GGGCCUCUAGCUCAAUCGGCAGAGCAGCGGACUUUUAAUCCGCGGGUUCGGGGUUCGAUCCCCCGGGGGCCCACCU
rnacentral:tRNA from 1 species